GAUGAACGCUGGCGGCGUGCUUAACACAUGCAAGUCGAACGAUGAAGCCCAGCUUGCUGGGUGGAUUAGUGGCGAACGGGUGAGUAACACGUGAGUAACCUGCCCUUGACUCUGGGAUAAGCCUAGGAAACUGGGUCUAAUACUGGAUAUGACUUCUCAUCGCAUGGUGGGGGGUGGAAAGAUUUAUUGGUCUUGGAUGGACUCGCGGCCUAUCAGCUUGUUGGUGAGGUAAUGGCUCACCAAGGCGACGACGGGUAGCCGGCCUGAGAGGGUGACCGGCCACACUGGGACUGAGACACGGCCCAGACUCCUACGGGAGGCAGCAGUGGGGAAUAUUGCACAAUGGGCGCAAGCCUGAUGCAGCGACGCCGCGUGAGGGAUGACGGCCUUCGGGUUGUAAACCUCUUUCAGUAGGGAAGAAGCGAGAGUGACGGUACCUGCAGAAGAAGCGCCGGCUAACUACGUG
rnacentral:rRNA from 1 species